rnacentral:rRNA from 1 species
GUGCUCGAGUGGCGAACGGGUGAGUAACACGUGGGUGAUCUGCCCUGCACUUUGGGAUAAGCCUGGGAAACUGGGUCUAAUACCGGAUAGGACUACGGCCUGCAUGGGUUGUGGUGGAAAGCUUUUGCGGUGUGGGAUGGGCCCGCGGCCUAUCAGCUUGUUGGUGGGGUGAUGGCCUACCAAGGCGACGACGGGUAGCCGGCCUGAGAGGGUGUCCGGCCACACUGGGACUGAGAUACGGCCCAGACUCCUACGGGAGGCAGCAGUGGGGAAUAUUGCACAAUGGGCGCAAGCCUGAUGCAGCGACGCCGCGUGAGGGAUGACGGCCUUCGGGUUGUAAACCUCUUUCAGUGCCGACGAAGCGCGAGUGACGGUAGGCACAGAAGAAGCACCGGCCAACUACGUGCCAGCAGCCGCGGUAAUACGUAGGGUGCGAGCGUUGUCCGGAAUUACUGGGCGUAAAGAGCUCGUAGGUGGUUUGUCGCGUUGUCCGUGAAAACUCACAGCUUAACUGUGGGCGUGCGGGCGAUACGGGCAGACUGGAGUACUGCAGGGGAGACUGGAAUUCCUGGUGUAGCGGUGGAAUGCGCAGAUAUCAGGAGGAACACCGGUGGCGAAGGCGGGUCUCUGGGCAGUAACUGACGCUGAGGAGCGAAAGCGUGGGGAGCGAACAGGAUUAGAUACCCUGGUAGUCCACGCCGUAAACGGUGGGUACUAGGUGUG